AGAGUUUGAUCCUGGCUCAGAACGAACGCUGGCGGCAUGCCUAACACAUGCAAGUCGAACGUGAUCCAGACUUCGGUUUGGUGAAAGUGGCAAACGGGUGAGUAACGCGUGGGAACCUGCCCAGAGGUAGGGAAUAACUGCGGGAAACUGCGGCUAAUACCCUAUGUGUCCUGAGGGACAAAGAUUUAUCGCCUUUGGAGGGGCCCGCGUCGGAUUAGGUAGUUGGUGGGGUAACGGCCACCAAGCCUUCGAUCCGUAGCUGGUCUGAGAGGAUGAUCAGCCACACUGGGACUGAGAUACGGCCCAGACUCCUACGGGAGGCAGCAGUGGGGAAUAUUGGACAAUGGGGGCAACCCUGAUCCAGCAAUGCCGCGUGAGUGAUGAAGGCCUUCGGGUUGUAAAGCUCUUUCGGCGGGGAAGAUGAUGACGGUACCCGCAGAAGAAGCCCCGGCUAACUUCGUGCCAGCAGCCGCGGUA
rnacentral:rRNA from 1 species